UACGUAGGGGCGAGCGUUGUCCGGAUUUAUUGGGCGUAAAGAGCGUGUAGGCGGCCAAACAGGUCCACUGUGAAACUCGAGGCUCAACCUCGAGAGGUCGGUGGAAACCGUCUGGCUAGAGUCCGGAAGAGGAGAGUGGAAUUCCCGGUGUAGCGGUGAAAUGCGCAGAUAUCGGGAAGAACACCCGUGGCGAAGGCGGCUCUCUGGGACGGUACUGACGCUGAGACGCGAAAGCGUGGGGAGCGAACAGG
rnacentral:rRNA from 1 species